CCUACGGGCGGCAGCAGUGGGGAAUAUUGCACAAUGGGGGAAACCCUGAUGCAGCGACGCCGCGUGAGUGAAGAAGUAAUUCGUUAUGUAAAGCUCUAUCAGCAGGGAAGAAAAUGACGGUACCUGAGUAAGAAGCCCCGGCUAACUACGUGCCAGCAGCCGCGGUAAUACGUAGGGGGCAAGCGUUAUCCGGAUUUACUGGGUGUAAAGGGAGCGUAGACGGUUGUGCAAGUCUGAAGUGAAAGCCUGCGGCUCAACUGCGGAACGGCUUUGGAAACUGUGUAACUGGAGUGCUGGAGAGGUAAGCGGAAUUCCUGGUGUAGCGGUGAAAUGCGUAGAGAUCAGGAGGAACACCGGCGGCGAAGGCGGCUUACUGGACAGUAACUGACGUUGAGGCUCGAAAGCGUGGGGAGCAAACAGGAUUAGAUACCCUGGUAGUC
rnacentral:rRNA from 1 species